GACGAACGCUGGCGGCGUGCUUAACACAUGCCAGUCGAACGGAAAGGCCCUGCUUUUGUGGGGUGCUCGAGUGGCGAACGGGUGAGUAACACGUGAGUAACCUGCCCUUGACUUUGGGAUAACUUCAGGAAACUGGGGCUAAUACCGGAUAGGAGCUCCUGCUGCAUGGUGGGGGUUGGAAAGUUUCGGCGGUUGGGGAUGGACUCGCGGCUUAUCAGCUUGUUGGUGGGGUAGUGGCUUACCAAGGCUUUGACGGGUAGCCGGCCUGGGAGGGUGACCGGCCACAAUGGGAAUGAGGAACGGGCCAGAAUCCUACGGGAAGCAAGAGGGGGGAAUAAUGGAAAAUGGGGGGGAGGCUGGAGGAACAACGCCGGGGGGGGGAUGACGGCCUUCGGGUUGUAAACCGCUUUCGCCUGUGACGAAGCGUGAGUGACGGUAAUGGGUAAAGAAGCACCGGCUAACUACGUG
rnacentral:rRNA from 1 species